rnacentral:rRNA from 1 species
UAAGGAAUAUUGGUCAAUGGACGCAAGUCUGAACCAGCCAUGCCGCGUGAAGGAUGAAGGUCCUCUGGAUUGUAAACUUCUUUUAUCUGGGACGAAAACGGGAUUUUUAUCUCAAUUGACGGUACCAGAUGAAUAAGCACCGGCUAACUCCGUGCCAGCAGCCGCGGUAAUACGGAGGGUGCAAGCGUUAUCCGGAUUCACUGGGUUUAAAGGGUGCGUAGGUGGGUAUGUAAGUCAGUGGUGAAAUCCCCGAGCUUAACUUGGGAACUGCCAUUGAUACUAUAUAUCUUGAAUACCGUAGAGGUAAGCGGAAUAUGUCAUGUAGCGGUGAAAUGCUUAGAUAUGACAUGGAACACCAAUUGCGAAGGCUGCUUACUAUGCGGUGAUUGACACUGAGGCACGAAAGCGUGGGUAGCAAACA